CUAUUGCCUAAAUGAAAAUAAACAAGUAGUUCACAAAGGUCAAAAAAUGCCAACAGAAUCUAACACAGGUUUAUGCAGCUCCUUGGUCUCAAGUUAAUGAUUUUAUGCCAUCGACCUUAGGUUAACUAGCUGGGUUAACUGACUUCAUACUGCUGCAAAAUGUCCUGAAUAACUUAUUUGAAUAUGGACAGAGCACCUCCAAAGUACUAAAGAACUUGGAGAAAAUGUAGGACAAAAAGCUGCGAAGGUUUCUAAACAAACCAAGCACACCCCACACAUACCUGGAGCACAGCGAGUGUGUGAGACAGCAGCGGCAAAUCACAGGAGCUUGGUGCGGGUGGUCACCACUGCAUGUGAGCCCAGAAGAAAGUGCUAACUCAUAAAACGAAAGGAGGGACUGCAAGGAUCGGGUUUCUCCAAAUAAUGGUUACGAAGUACCAGCAGCCAGUGCAGACACUAGGCACCUGAUUUCAAACUAAGGAAUGCAAACCUUUCUUCCCAUGAAGCAUAAUGAAACUGAAGAAAUCAUUGUCAUAAGAUGUACUAGAGGUCAGCAUCCCAAGAAGGUUCAAAAAGCGACUGGCGGUGGCCACAGAACCAGGCUGGUCCAUCAGUGGCCAUUCCACACACUGCUCCAGUGGCCACAUGCAGCUCCGGAAGGUAAUCUGUGAAAGUAAUACCCCAUCUGAAUAACCCUAGCCACAAAUUCUGGAACAAGAUACACUUGCCAUCUGUCAAAAAAGUUUAGUUUCUCACAAUAAGCUUCACCAAACAAUGUAUGCAUGUCCCCAAAGUUUGGACUUGUGAUUUAUGUAGAGGUUAGAUGGAUAAUGGCCAUAACACACAAAUAGAUUAAUUUACCACUGGACUAACUUAUUUCAAGCAUUAAGAAAAAUCUCAAGGGAGUGAAGAACAUUUCACAGCAGAUUAAAACAUGACACUGCCAGGUGAAAUCCAAGACUUCUUCAAAAGAAUAUAAUAUGAAAGUAUCGAUUAGAAUCUACCAACAAAAAAGUCUACAAUAUUCUGUUUGCUCAUUUCUUUAAUUUCUGUUUCAACAAACUCUUCCCCCAGUUUUAUAAAAUGUGUUAUCGAAAACCUCCACAGUGUGUUACAUAAUUGCAUUACAAAUCCAGUUGCUGGCUCUUCUAUUAAAUGUAUUUAUUCA